rnacentral:tRNA from 1 species
UGACUUCGUAGCUCAGCUGGUAGAGCAAUUGACUCUUAAUCAAUGGGCCGUGGGUUCGAGUCCCACCGAGGUCACCC